ensembl:lncRNA
GCACAGUAAGAUCCUGGUCUGAAUCCUGGUCCUGGGUGACAAGUUUGCAUAAAUAAGGCACUCCUGAGAACUAGCAGAGACUGCUGCCUUCUCCUGUGUUGGGCUAGAUGCCCUAAUACAAUCCAGCUUGAUAUGACUGCCCGAAGUGUGUUGAUGAGAGGGAAAAAUGACACAGAGCUUAAAGUAGCUCUACUGAAGCUAUUGAUGUUCUCUCCGCUGACUUCAAAAUGUUGGUCCAACUAAUGAUAAAUAAGGCCUUGAGGGGAGUCCCUCCCCCCCUGCCCUGGACCUAGCUGGGAUUUUACUGGGAGCAUGGGGUCAUUGCUGACUUCUUUCUGUUCCUCUAACAGCUGCUGAAAGGAGGAAAGAAGCAUCCUUAGGCUAAAUUGCAUAACCUUCUUCAAUAUAGCUAUCAGCUGAGGAAAAGGAUACCCCUUUCUCAAACUCUUUCCUAAUUUCAAACAUGUACCAGGAAUGUUCUUACUCUUUUUAAUGAACAGGAGUUCAGUGCUCUGUGCUACUAUUACAGUUCCUCCUUCACACAAAAGAUCUUCAGUCAACUAUGCCCAGCACCUGCUGGGGCCCUGUGUGUACAAGUGCCAUGGCCUGCCUUCACGAGGUUUGGAGCAAGGCUGCUAUUUGCUUGAAUGGAAGAAUGAAAGGAAUGGAAGGGAAGUACAGAUGUUUUUAGAAAUUGCUAGAAUUAUUAAUUCCAGGGCUCUGACAUAAGAGACCUGAGCUAUUGGUUCCCUAUAUGCUGUGGAGGUUUGGAGGUGGGAGACAGUACAACGGGGCUGAAAAGUGCAGACCUGCAUGUCCCUUGCGCUUGUUGGCAUGAACAGCAAACACAUCUAGUUGAAAGCAAAGCCUGUUGCUUUGCCUCUACUUGUCACUGUUAUGUUCUUUUUUCUGUUUUUGGAAGAGGCUCUAGACUUACAGUAAUUAAACUAAAAGCUCUAUAAAAAAAAUCCUGUUCUUUGUCCAAAGCAGAAUUUUUGUUGUGAUUUGUCUUGCUACUUACCUUUACUUUUUUUUUCCUCUCCAACUGAGGGUCCCUAAAUGCAAAAGCAGUGAAUUCCAAUUUGUAACCUACAAGAUGAAUCUUGGUAUCAGUCAGUUAGGAAACCUGAACAAAAAUUAACUGCCCAUCCUCUACUGGUGGUGCUGGUAGAGGACAGGGAGGAAGAUGGGUCUUGGACCACUUCAUUCCAUGGCUCAGGAUCUCUCUUAAGAUGCUCCAGGAACUUGUCUUGGGAGACAGUUCUACAGCUUAAAGAAAUGCUGCCAGCUCAUUCUAUGUCUGUCAAUAUAUUUACUGUUUCAGAAGCUUUACAAUAACAAACUUUCUUCUUGAACAGCAGACAGGCCUUUGCAAAGUUUCUUUUAUUAGUUCUUCAUUGGGAAAAUACUUUAAAACAUAAUGAGUUUUUUUUUAAAAAAAAAAAAAAAGCUUAAAGUCAACACUUGCUGAUUUGAAACAGAAUUCCAAAAGUUAUGCUUGCUUAUCUGAUGCAAAAUGACUGAAUGGUUACUGGAAUCAGUAUUAAAGCUAAAGCAAGUACAAUGUUGCACUGUGAACUAUGGCAACUUUAAAAUUGAUUCUCUUCUGUUUGGUGACUGUACACCUUACUUUGCCUUUGGCUUUGAGUAAGAACCAGAUUUGUAUUGCCAGAACUGGGUGGUAAUGUGUUAUAUGGAGUCUUUUGUUCAAAUGCCCUUCUUGCCUCUCUCCAGGAACUUCUGUAUUUUUCUCAACAUCCAUAUAACAAGAUUACUGAUAUUUUAGUUUUCUGAAUUAAGCAUUCAUCCAUUUUGUGUUGGCUGCACAAAUUGCACCAAUAAUCCUUUCCACUCUAAAGCAAUACUCAUUGUUUGCAUUGUAGAGAUCUUCAUCAUACAACAUUUACAGAUGCUGAAUUAAGCUGUCAUUGGGAUUAAUAAAUAUAGUCAUAUUACUCA